GAGAGAAAAUCUCAAAACAUUUACUUGUUGUUUUUUUUGCAUAUUACAGAAAACCUGGUGGUACUGGGAUGUGGUUGUGGUGACUCGCGUUGCCACUGAGUCCUUGCUUGGAAAUACUUCUACUGAGCUUUUUGGCGAGCGGAUCGCUCUGCAGUUCCGGGGGCGAGGCGGAGAAAAAAAAAAGAACGAGGGGACGAAGCAGAUGGAGAGAGAGGAUCCAGAUACGCAGAAUAUGGAGAUCUCAUGCUUGUGGAGCUCUGCCAGAAUUGUUCCAUGCCCAGAGAUGAUCCUUUUCCCAUCUCCUCCUGAUCAGUUUUCACCUCUGCUACCAGUUCAGGUGUUACCUUCAACAAUAGUCAUCUUGUCCAAACUGUCACCCUUCACAUUCCUAAAGCCAUGUAAUCCCAGCUCCAAUACAUCAUAGUGUUACCACAGGUGACGAAUAUCUCCAGCAGACACAGAGCACCCUUUGUUCCCCAUAUGUUUGGUUUUCCUUCUUAAAAACUUGGCCAAGAAUGGACACUGGCUCUGGUGAACUACACCGGCUGGGAAUCAUAGGAAUUGGAGUCCAAGGCAGGUGUACAGCCCUGAGACGAUACCCAGCACCUGUUGAGCACAGACUUAUCAGCUCAUCAGGACUCCAGUGAAAAUAUCUCACAGAAAUCCGGGGGUGAAUGAAUGAAUUAAUGCUGAAAACAAAGUCUCACCUAAGCCAAGAAAAUAAUACGACUGAGUCAAAAUCGCCAGGGUGUGUUUGAGAUGUCAGCAGGUUAUUGUGUCUUAAAUCAGCCGUGUCCUAAGUCGACAGAGGCACCUACAAAUGAACGAGUCCAAUAAAUCACUCCAAACAAAGGAAUGCUUUGUCCAGUG